UGUUGCCAGGUAACUGUGGGGCAGAGGUUAGACAAAAUGCUAACACCUGCCACUGUCCACAGAGGAGCCUGAUGUGAAUGACUGUCAAGUGGAUCCCAUGCGGAAAGUCAGGAGACAGGUCUGCUUGCAGCACCCCAUUCUACUUCAAGGGAGAAGAUGAGCAUCAGAGGACCUCCAUAUGGAGUUUACCUCAGAGAUGGCACGCUAGCCACUGCAGAAACUGCCCUUCAAGUGCUGACAAUAUGCUGUCCAGUUUACAACAUGCAGUGAAGUCAGCUGCUGAGCUUUGCCAACAUAGGAUAAGAACCUCUUCAGUAAGCACCCGGGAUCUUUGGAAUGCCUCUCCAUGCAAAUGAGGCAUCCCCAGCAUGUUAAGUUCCAACCAAUGAAACUUCAUCCUAAGAAGAACCUUCCCACUCUCUAAGAUUUAUAUGGAGCCCUUGAUUCACCCCAAAUAAAGGGUAUGCGUACAAACUAUUUAAUUG